CUCUACUCGUUUUCGAUUUUUUUAAUACUGAAGUAGAAGAAAGUAUUUCAGACGCGGAGACAGCGAAGACGAAGGUGGAAGGCCGCCGCUAAACAAAUGGAUUGAGGUUUUUCGGACAAAGAAAAGAAAAAAGAAUGUCGUAGGGGACCAGGUAGGCGUUACUUUCGGAACUCAAAAACGUGCAACCAAACAGAAAAGAACCGAUGAGGGUAUUUUGGGUAAUUUUCCUAAUUGAAAUGAACAAAUACGCGGUCCUCAAGCCGUCUUCUAUUUCUAUCUAUGGUAUGAUGGUAUUAUAUGAACUCUUUACGUGUGUACGCACAUUGGUCAAUAAAAUGUCAUUACUUCUUUCAUA